GGGAUAAGUUCCUGUAGCUGAACGUUGACUGUCAUGAAUAUGAAAGCGAGGAAAUUCAAUUCUUUUGGAAUGUUCAGUUUCGUUUUCCUCUUCAAAAUUAGUUGCAUCUAGGGAAGAGCAACCAACCUCCUCUUUCUAUUUUUCUUCCUCAUACUCUCUUUUUUUCCAUAAAACUGUUUAUUCUAAGAUGGACGGUCUUAUACUCUUUUAAACUUUUUUCUUGGAAUUUGUUAAGUGUUCUCUAUCUUUGCACUUGCUGCAAAUUUUGCUCAGUCUUUUGCUAUGUUAGCACAUUAUUUACAUUCUCCAGGGAAAGUGACAUUCAUUUGAUGAACUAUGGAUAACAAAAACACUGAUAGGAAACUCGUGAUCACACCCAGUAUGAUGUUUCCGGCGUACAGGUACAUUGCAGGUUUAGAAAUAAUCCAGUUGAAAAUAUGUCUUAAAACCCCUCAAUAUAACCACUUCACGCUACGAUGGGAUGUCUGAACAUAGCUAUUCACUUUCAGGGAACAUUUCAAG